UAUCUUAUGUAUUUCAGACUACAGUAAUCAAAUUUAGGUUAGAAACUCUUAUUCUCUUUACUUACAUACCACAGUUUCUCAGUCCACAUAAAAAAACGUCGUAUAUACCAUGUAUGUACUUCGUACAUGUUACGCAUAUUCAUACUGAUA